UUCUUGCCUUAGAAAGUAUUGACAUGCCCAAGUUGCUACUGUGUUCACUGGUUGCUAUUGGGGAGAGAAGCUUGUGGUUCCUAUGUCAUUAGCACUGAAAGGCAAAUAAAUGGCAUUUUCAGAUGUUUUCAAACAGACCUCAAAAAUGAUCCAUACCACUGUCAUUAUUGAGUUUGUGGAGUUGCCAUUUAGAGGAGCCCCACUAGGCAUGAAGGUUCAAAUAAGGUAAGGAGUGAUUGAAGUCGAUAGACUGAAUGGUUGACUCAGUUCAGACUCUUCACCACUCCCUAUAUCCUUGCCACAGCCUCAUGGUUAACUCAGGGCUCACCUGAUUAUCCAGAUCUGAUUCAGAACUGAAGACUUCCAGUUGAGUGAGUUUAUGUGAGAAAUACAGAAAUAUUUGUUUCCAAGAACUUCAUAGGGAGACAGAUAUAAAACCUACUGUGACCUUACCCAAAUGCCAUCCUUCUACUGAGU